CCAGCAGCUGCGGUAAUUCCAGCUCCAGUAGCGUAUAUUAAUGUUGUUGCGGUUAAAAAGCUCGUAGUUGAAUCUCUGAUCGGGGAAACCUCCCCACCCUCGGGUGGCGGUAGCUGUAUACCUGGUCAUCCUCCUAUAUACGGCAUCUUUUAAUCGAGAUGUCCGUAGUAGGACUUUUACUUUGAGGAAAUUAGAGUGUUUCACGCAGGCAUAUGCCUUGAAUACAUUAGCAUGGAAUAAUAUUUUAGGACUUCGGUUCUAUUUUAUUGGUUCUGGACCGAAGUAAUGAUUAAUAGGGACAGUCGGGGGCAUUUGUACUCAGUUGUCAGAGGUGAAAUUCUUGGAUUAACUGGAGACAAACUACUGCGAAAGCAUUUGCCAAGGAUGUUUUCAUUGAUCAAGAACGAAAGU
rnacentral:rRNA from 1 species